rnacentral:lncRNA from 1 species
CACACACCCUCCCUCCCCAGCCUAACUCAGUCUUUCUGACACAUGUGCUCACAUACUUUGACUUUAAUUCUGAUGUGUACCUGAUAGAUAUGUAACUGCAGCCAAGUUGACGGGUUAAGCAUCUGCUUUCUGUAUGCCAAGUGUAAAGCCAAGGCCAAAUGCUAACUCGUAUUUUAUGGAGAUUUCUCUACUUACAUGAAAAGGUGACUGCUGCGAAGAAUCCGACGUAACAAUGUAUUACAAGGUGAUUCUUUUUCUGAUUGGAGUGGUGCAAAUCUACUAUCAGGUCUCUUCAGCAGAUGUUGAAUACAACUACAUUGCUGAGCUGAUGGUGGGAAGUAAUAUCACACUGGAGGCCAACACCAUCAUGAUAGCUUUGAACGACAUUACUAGCCUGGAAAAUGGAUCCACGACAGCGAACCUCUCACACAGUGAACUCAUAGCAGAGUGCCUGAUUCUUGGAGAUGAAUCCACUUGCAACUGUUCUACCGGCUACGUUUGGAGCAACAUAGUGUGCUACACGUACAACUGUUGCCGCGAAAUUUCUUGCACACAAAACGUGUCCCACAUCACACCACUCUGCAUUGCCAAAGUCAAAGUUCUAAUCACUGGAUCAGCUAUAUUGAAUAAAAUCUGGGACGAUUCUAAAAAUGAAAAGCUUGCAUAUAACUUUGGAGAACUGAAUGGCUUUCAGUACCUGAAUGUAACCGGUCACAGGCUGGACAACACAGUUGCUGACUUUGAGGCAGCUGUCACCGUCAAAUUUACGCCAUUGAAACUUGAAGAAAUUAGGGUGAAAGGGGAAAGCAUACUUGGAGCUCUAAUUCAGCUGGAGACUCUUGGAAUGGUCACCAUAGAGUCCCCAAAGAAUAUUAUGUGCUAUAUGUCUAAGCCAGUACUGAAAUGCACAUUUGACGAGAAGACAGAUCUUGCUGGCUGGAACAUAAGCAAGAAGAAUGAGCACGUUGAGCUCGGCCCCGGCAGUGUGGUGAGACUGAACGACAACUGUACCACAGACGAAUACAAGUCUUGUACUGAAAUCACACUCGAGAAUGUGACAAGCAUCUGGGCAGGCG